AUCUCUUCGAAGAAAUCUAAUUAAAUUGGAACGAUACAUAGAAGAUUAGCAUAGCCCCGCAUGGAUGAAAUGCACAAAUCAAGAAAUGGUCCAAGUUCUU